GAAAAUAACACUAUUCAUUAAAUGGAAGUGGAUCAUCAUAAAGGUCAUCCUCAUCAUCAUCAUCAUGUUGAGUAGGCUGAAGAGGAGAAGGAAGAGGAGCUGUUCUUGCUGUCUCGGGUGGCAGAAGCAGAAAAAAAUUAAUGUGGCCCUGGAGAAUGCUGCUUCAUUGUCAUGUCAGUGUCUUCUGCCUCCCACCCUGAAGUGUGUGAACAACAACCAAGACACCAUUUGGGUGGCUUGUUUUAAUCCUUCCUCUCACUGUUUAGCCUCUACACAUUCAUUAACAGGUAAGAGGGAAGCCUACUCCCCUCUUCUUUUCCCACUCUUGGAUGAAAGCAUUCACUACUGAAUCCCAGAGAGUCUUCUCAUAUCUCCUAAUCUAGACAUUGAGGCCUUCCUGUUUUCCAGUAUUAAAACUUAGGUACACUAACUUUUAGAGUUUAUUUGAGCAGGUAGUGAUUUGUGAAUGGAACAACCCCAGACUGCAGGCAGUUUGGGCUCCAAUGAAGGGAUGCAAGGGGAAAACUUUUAUAAUGUGUUCAUGGAAGCAAGACAAAAUAUUUGACAGGUUAAGGUGGAGCAGUAGCUUUAAAUUCCCUAGUUAGAGGUUUACUGUCAAUUUCUAAAGUCCCUAGUUAGAGCUUAGUUGUCAAUUUCUGAUAGAUUAUGCUGAAGUUUCAUUUUCCUAGGCUAGGGCCUUUCACCCUGAUUUGGGGUUCAGUUUGUUUAUGUAAGAACUCAGGAUAUUAGAGUUAUUUUAACAUCAGAAAGCCAUGGCUUUGUUAGCCAAAAUUGUCAAGAAUUGUGCAAUGUCUGAGAUUUUACCCUACUUACAAGAUGUUUUGGUCUGAAUGUGUUCCCCCAAAAUUUGUGUGUGGGGAAUUUUUUAAUUCCCAAUGCAACAGGAUUGAGAAGUGGGGCUUAAUGGGAGGUGUUCUGUAAGCCUUUCCACCCUUAUGAAUAGAUUAAUGCUGCUAUAAAAAGAGCUUCCAGAAGUGGGUUCACCCUCUUCUGCCAUGGAGGGAUUCCGUGUUUGUCCGUUUUUGUCUUUCUGACUUCUGCCAUGUGAAGACACAGUGUUCUCCCUCUCCAGAGAAUGAAACGUCCAAGGCACCAUCUUGGAAGCAAAGACUGGACCCUCAUCAAAACCCUUGAUCUUAGACUUCCCAGGCUCCAGAACAGUGGGAGAUAAAUUUCUGUUUUCUAUAAAAUACCCAGUCUGUAGUAUUCUUUUAUAGCAGUGCAAAAUGAACUAAGACACAUGCUAACAAAUUAGCCUGUUAAAACUUCAUGGAAUGCUGGCAGAAGACAUGAGACUCAUGGGUCAGAGACAAAGGACUUUAUAGUAUCCAGAGCUUCAUGUUGAUUUGUGUUGGUCCCAUGUGCUUCCCAGAUCUCACUGUAUGAAACAAAGAGCCCAUAAUGAAUGUCUACACACAUACUGGGUUGUGGUACAGGAGAGGACCACCAAGCUUGGAUGAGUCACCACUGUUAUAGUAAGCACAAGCAAGCCUAUUUUUUGUCAGGAGGAAGAUAUUACAUCAUUCCGUAAGAUUUCUCCCUGCAAACACAACCCUUAGAAAUGGCCUAGAAAAAGAAAGGGCAAUACCUGGCAAGACUGUGCAGGGAUGCUCAGAGCCCAUAGUGGGCUGCCUCUCCCAACAAAUUCUUUGUCUUUUGCUACUUAGCCAUAAAUUGAAUAUUUAAAGAUUAAAUUACAUGUGUAAUUUUUGGAAUUGAAUAUUAGAGGAGCCCUGGGAAAAUAGUUAAAAUAGUAGUAAGAGUUACUGAUUACCUGCCAUUUUCCAGAAACUGUUUUAAAUCCUUUACAUGCUGUAUUAAUUAGCUAGGACUGCUUUAAUGAAGUACCACAGACUGGGUACAGAAAUUUAUUUUUUCAAAGUUAUGAUGAAUAGAAGACUGGGAUUAAGGUGUGGACAGGAUUUAUUUCUUCUGAGGCCUCACUCCUUGCCUUGUAGAUGGUCACUUUCUUGUGUCUUCAGUCUUCCCUCUGUGUGUGCACAUCCCUGGUGUCUAUUUUUGUGUCCAAAUUUCCUCUUAUAAGGACCCCAGUCAGACUGGAUUAGGGCCCACCCCAGUGGCCUCAUUUUAAUUACCUCUUUAAGGGCCCUAUCUCCAAAUAUAGUCACAUUCUGAGAUACUGGGAGUUAGGGCUUUAAUAUAUUAAUUUAGGGGGACACAAACCCAUAAUACAUAUAUUCUCUCAAUCUUUGCAACAUCCAUUUUCUCUGUUUUAUAGAUGAGGAAAUAGCCUUAGUAUGGUUAAGAAACUGGCCCAAUAUCUCACAGCUAGUAGGAGGUAGCACUGGGAUUUGAACCAAAAUUUUAUUGGCUCUGAAGUCUGUGUCCCUAAGCAUUAAUUAUGAUAUGAAACUUUUUUUUCUGUAAGGUAACAACAAAACAAGAAGAAAAGAGAAUGUCUGGUUUAUUUAUAGGGCUAAUUUAAAUGUGUUAGAAAUGUACCUUGAUUAUCUUCAUGCUUGGGAAUGGUAAAAUAAUAUCAUUUUGUAUUGUGCCAAAUAAUGAAUUUUUCUGCUUUAGUGGUUGUCUUAAAUGUGACCACAUGAAAACCUUGCACAGGCAAUCAUCUCAGAUAUAUAUAUAGCCUUUGUUCUACGUUGGAAUAAUAGCAAUGUUGAAUGUUAAACUGUUUUUAAAAAUAAAAUGUAUGAUUUUACCUAGGUA